rnacentral:rRNA from 1 species
AGCGCGCGUAGGUGGUUUCUUAAGUUUGAUGUGAAAGCCCCGGCCUCUACCUGGGAACUGCAUUGUAAACUGUCGAGCUUGAGUACGCUUGAGAGUGGUGGAAUUUCCUGUGUAGCGGUGAAAUGCGUAGAUAUAGGAAGGAACACCAGUGGCGAAGGCGACCUCCUGGACUGAUACUGACACUGAGGUGCGAAAGCGUGGGGAGCAAACAGGAUUAUAUACCCUGGUAGUCCACGCCGUAAACGAUGUCUGCUAGCCGUUGGGAGCCUUGAGCUCUUAGUGGCGCAGCUAACGCAUUAAGUUGACCGCCUGGGGAGUACGGCCGCAAGGUUAAAACUCAAAUGAAUUGACGGGGGCCCGCACAAGCGGUGGAGCAUGUGGUUUAAU